rnacentral:tmRNA from 1 species
GGGGGCGACAUGGCUUCGACGUGUGUCGCAAAACUCGGGGUGCAUGCCGAGGUGCAGGGACCUCGUAAAACACUUUGCAAACUUUAGUUGCCAACGACGACAACUACGCACUCGCCGCUUAAAACCCGGUAGGGUGCCGUCUGACUGGACGCGUGCUUGUGAGCACCAGAUUUCAGGCGUCAUAACUCACAAGAUCGCCGUGAAACCUGCCCGAGGUCGAUCGGUUAAAUCUCAUUAGGGAUCGCCGCUUGUUUUCCCUGUCCGUCGGGUAGCAAUCGGUUAAAACAAUAGACGUGAAUAAGCAUGUAGACCUCCGGGCGGAGGGCUCGCGGACGCGGGUUCGAUUCCCGCCGCCUCCACCA